rnacentral:lncRNA from 10 species
GCUGCGGAAACAGGAAAAACUGGAGGCUUUAAAAGAACUGUUGCAGGAACAAUUGCAAGAGGGACAUAUAGAGCCUACUUUCUCCCCUUGGAAUUCUCCUGUAUUUGUCAUUAAGAAAAAAGCUGAUGAACAAACCACGUAGGUGCCCUCAAGAUGUGUACGACCAUGGAACAGGAGACUGGAAGGACCCAUGGAUCCCAACCAUGGACUGGGUUCCCCUAGUAUGAGCCAUGCUGAGAAAGUGCUGGAGUGCCAGGGUUUUACCUAUAGAUACUUAACGAACCAAUGCUUUCUGACUGAACUCCUCUCUACCCUGAAUACAAGAGACCCUAAUAGGUAGGCAGGAGUAUCAUCGCCCCUAUUCAGCAUGAAGUUACAGAAGGUGGACCUUCAUCCUUCUGCAACCCCUAGGAUUAAGGGUCCUCUGUAAAAGGGAAAGGGGAAAUAUGUAGGAAGCAUUCAAACCAGAGCGACUCCAUUUUGAAUAAGGGCUAAGAAAAAUGAAGCUGGAUCACCAACUGGCAAUUAAGGGCUGCACAGCCUGUGAUUGCCUUGCUCAAUUAAUUUUAGAAAGAGGCCACCUUAUGCUAGUAAUAAUGAUAGCUGUGGCGGUUUUUACAAAAAAGAGAAGGGGGGCAUGUUGGGAGAAAAGCUGAGUGUUGGGAGAGAAGCUGAGGCAGAGCUUGCAUGUGUGCUAGACUUGCUGGCUCCUUGCUUCCAGCACUGCCAUUAUCUCAAGUAGCCAUAUGUCUCUCAUUCACUUGAUACACUGUUUCUUUUCAAACCCCACAUCCUCACCACCUGUUUCUUUGAGCACCAAUAAAUAGCGUGGGCUCCCAGAGCUUGGGGCCUUCGCAGCCUCACACGAUGGCCCCCUGGGCCCACUUCUCUCAAACUGUCUUUUUAAUCAUUCCUUUGACUCCGCCGGACUUCGUCGUCCCCAUGACCUGGUGUUGGGUCUGAUCACCCCAACAGCAGUGGGCAAGGUGAAUCCAUUGGGCAAUUACAGCAUCUCCUGGGAAAGAUAGAUUCUGUAAACAGGCCAGGCAAAUGGAUCUAACUGGCCAAUGGAAAAGCUGGGAUUAGAAGGCAAUGGAACCUGGUCAUAGUCAGAGACAAAGCACCAACAGGUAUGAGGAUCACGUCCACCUUCCCGUACUGUCAGUUAAUAACCUGGCUGGGGUUGAAACUGACCUUCUGAGGCUCUGGCCACACUGGAGGUCAGGAAUGCUUGCACUACAGCCAGGCCUUUUCUGCCUUCCCUCCCCUCCUGUCUGGUUCCUACUGAGGACUCAGCUAAAUGAACAUGUUUUUCUCCAUUGGUCUGGAUGGUUCCAGAGACAAUCAGCUGCAGUGCUACAGUGGAAAGUUGGAAGGAAGAGAGUGAGUUUGGGAGGAUGUGGCCCAAGCCUGGACUGACUUCAUUUCUAGCCUAUGAAGAUGAUUAAACAGCGACUUAGGGUCUAAAGACCAGUACCUUCCAGGUAGCUCUUUAGGUCUGGAAUUCUCAGCUCUGCAUUCCCUCUCUCAAGGUCUCAUCUCUUCCGGAAGAGUUAGUUGGUUAUCUGAUGGGAUAGAAAAUCUGAAUAUUGGGCCAGGUGCUGGUGGCUCACGCCUGUAAUCCCAGCACUUUGGGAGGCUGAGGCCCCUGAGGUCGGGAGUUCGAGACCAGCCUGACCAACAUGGAGAAACCCUAUCUCUACUAAAAAUACAAAAUUAGCCGGGCAUGGUGGUGCAUGCCUGUAAUCCCAGCUACUCGGGAGGCUGAGGCAGGAGAAUCGCUUGAACCCAGGAGGCGGAGGUUGCAGUGAGCAGAAGUCGUGCCAUUGCACUUCAGCGUAGGCAACAAGAGCGAAAGACUCCAUCUCAAAAAAAAAAAAAAAAAAAGCAAAAAGGUCUUAUAGGGAAAAGAGAGAUCAGACUGUUAGUGUGUCUAUGUAGAAAGGGAAGAUAUAAGAAAUUUCAUUUUGACCUUACCCUGAACAAUUGCUUUGCCCUGAGAUGCUGUUAAUCUGUAACUUUGCCCCAACCUUAAGCUCACAAAAACCUGUGUUGUAUGAAAUCAAGGUUUAAGGGAUCUAGGGCUGUGCAGAAUGUGCCUUGUUAACAAAAUGUUUACAAGCAGUAUGCUUGGUAAAAGUCAUCGCCAUUCUCUAGUCUCGAUAAACCAGGGGCACAAUGCACUGCGGAAAGCCGCAGAGACCUCUGCCCUGGAAGGUUGGGUAUUGUCCAAGGUUUCUCCCCAUGUGAUAGUCUGAAAUAUGGCCUCGUGGGAUGAGAAAGAUCUGACCAUCCCCCAGCCCGACACUCGUAAAGGGUCUGUGCUGAGGUGGAUUAGUAAAAGAGGAAAGCCUCUUAUAGUUGAGAUAGAGGAAGGCCACUGUCUCCUGCCUUUUCCCUGGGAACUGAAUGUCUCGGUAUAAAACCCGAUGGUACAUUUGUUCAAUUCUGAGAUAGGAGAAAAACCACCCUAUGGCGGGAAGCGAGACAUGUUGGCAGCAAUGCUGCUUUGUUAUUCUUUACUCCACUGAGAUGUUUGGGCAGAGGGAAACAUCAAUCUAGCCUACUUGCACAUCCAGGCAUAGUACCUCCCUUUGAACUUAAUUAUGACACAGAUUCUUCUGCUCACAUGUUUUGUUGCUGACCUUCUCCCUAUUAUCACCCUGCUCUCCUACCACAUUCUUCUUGCUGAGAUAGUGAAAAUAAUAAUCAAUAAAAACUGAGGGAACUCAGAGACCGGUGCCGGUGCAGGUCUUUGGUAUGCUGAGCGCCGGUCCCCUGGGCUCACUUUUCUUUCUCUAUACUUUGACUCUGUGUCUUACUUUUCUCAGUCUCUCGUCCCACCCAACUAGAAAUACCCACAGGUGUGGAGGGACUGGCCACCCCUUCAAGUCUGAAUGUUGUUUGCCUGGGAGUGAAAUUUCCUGUAACUCCUUGAGGAGCUUUAAAAAAAAAAAUACCGGUUCUUAGAUUUCUCCCUUUCUCCCCCUACUCUGGGGUGUGCUUGGGCAUUGAGCCUUUAAAAUAUCCCCAGGUGAUUUGAAUGAAUAGCCCAGGUUAAGAACCACUGCCCUAAAAAGAGCAGCAGGUUUGUGCUAUUUCUUUUUUUUUUUUUUGAGACCGAGUCUCACUCUGUCAUCCAGGCUGGAGUGCAGUGGUGCAAUCUCAGCUCACUGGAACCUCUGCCUUCCGGGUUCAAGAUCCUCCUGCCUCAGCUUCCCGAAUAGCUGGGAUUUACAGGCGCCCCCAAGCCCGGCUAAUUUUUGUAUUUUUAGUACAGACGAGGUUUCACCAUGUUGGCCUGGCGGGUCUGAAACUCCUGACCUCAAGUGAUCCACCCGCCUCGGCCCCAAAGUGCUGAGAUUACAGGCAUGAGCCACCGCACCCUGUCAGGUUUGUGCUUUUUGGACAGGUGGGGCUGUGUGUUGUACCUGUCUGCUAACAAAUGUUCAUACACCUGGGCAUGGUGGCUCAUAACUGUAAUCCUGGCACUUUGGGAGGUUGAGUGGGAGGAUCGCUUGAGGCCAGGAGUUUUAGACCAGCCUGAGCAACAUAGUAAGACCUCGUCUCUACAAAAAAUUUUAAAAAGCCCACUGUGGUGGUGUGUACCUGUAGUCCUAGCUACUCAGCAGGCUGAGGCAGGAGUGUUAUUUGAGCCAAGGAGGUCGAGGGUGCAAUGAAUCCUAGUCUCACCACUGCACACUAGCCUGGGUGGCAGAGUGAGACCCUGUUUUAAUAAAAAAAAAAGAAAGAAGUUCAGUCUGGGUGUGCUGGCUCACGCCUGUAAUCCCAGCACUUUGGGAGGCUGAUGUAGGAAGAUCACUGGAGCCCAGGAGUUCAAGACCAGCCUGAGCAACAUGGCGAAAUCCUGUCUCUACUAAAAGUACAAAAAAUUUGGUGGGUGUGGUGGCAUGCACUUGUAGUUCCAGCUACUGGGGAGGCUGAGGUGGGAGGAUCACCUAAGCCUGGGAGGUCAAGGCUGUGGUGAGCCAUGAUCGCGCCACUGCACUCCAGCCCAAGCAAUAGAGUGAGACCCUGUCUCAAGAAAAAAAAAAAGUUCGUACAGGUGCAGACUCAGUCUGAGACUGGUUCUAACAGGUAAAAUACCUCCAGUGGCAAGGCAGCAAGGAAGGAGCCUUGUGUUUCUUUCUGCCUUUAGCCACUGGAGGCAGAAAAGAACUCGGCAAUUUGUGAAUGACCACAGACUGGAAAAAAAGGGGAGUGUUCUCCAGGCUUUCAAAGUUUAGUGUUUAGAAUCACCAGAAGAGCUUGUUAAAACUCAGAUUUUUUGGCCCUACCCCAGAGAUUCUGAUGCAGUUGGUCUAGGCUAGGGCAUACAUUUGCACCUCUCCUAGGUGAUGCUGAUGAUGGUGGUCUGCAGUCACAUCUUGAGCAGCAGUGCUGUCUAUGCCAAUGGAUAGUGUGCGCAAAGGCCUAAGGGUGUGAGAGUCCGGCUUAUCCUGGGAUAAGUGCUUAGUGAGACGAGAGUUAACACGACUGCUGGAGGUUAAGGUGGAAGCUAAAUUAUGAAGAGCCUAACAUCCAUGCUGAGUUUAGACUUGACCCUGAGUCCACUGAGAAGCCACCUAAUUAGGUAUACAAAUACUUAGGGUCCUUGGGUGGUGGGGUGGCAGAGGCAAGAUCUCAAGCCAUCUGCUCCUGAGGGUUCUGGGAUGGUAGAAGUGAUGAUGGUGACUGCACCACAGUUGUGGACACCAGAGGGGGCGGGAGGCUGGAAAGGGGUUGUAAACAAGGAUAGUGGACACUUCUGCACUUUCCCUAAGGCAAGGCCGUCCCUAGAGGGGUCUGUUCAAGGUCUCAUGAUGUCUGAUGCUUGAUCUGUGAAUUUGGAGGGUGUUUUUGGAUGAGAUCAAUGUUCCUUUUUUUGUUUGCUUUGUUUGUUGUUGAGAUAGGGUCUCGAUCUUUCUCCCAGGCUGGGGUACAGUGGCGCCAUCUCAGAUCACUGCAGCUUCUGCCUCCUGGGCUCAAGUGAUCCUCCCACCCUCAGCCUCUGGAGUAGCUGGGACUUCGGGCACGUGCCACCAUGCCCAGCUGUGAAACAUUCUUCACAGAAAAUUAUCUUCUGGGUCUUGAGCCUGCUGGCCCACAGUGUAGAUUUUGGACUUGCCCACAUCCGUAACUGCAAAAGCUAAUUCCUUAUGAUAAAUCUUUCUGAAUACAUACAAAUCCUCUCGGUUCAGUUUCUCUGGAGAACACUAACUAAUACAAUGUUGGACAGGAAGUUUCUGCUCUCAGUCUUUAAGAACAGGUGAAUCUUAUUCCUCAUGGCAUGGGGGCCACUGGAGUAUGUUUCUUUUCUUUUUGGGGGGAGUGGGAGAGGAGGAACAGGGUCUCACUCUGUUGCCCAGGCUGGAGUGCAGUGUGUGAUCAUCGCUUACUGCAGCCUCGACUUCCAGGCUCAAGCGAUCCUCUCACCUCAGCCUCCAAAGUAGGUGGGGCUGCAGGUGCGUGCCACUGUGCCAGGCUGAUUUUUUAAGUAAUUUAUUAUUUUUCAGAUAGGGGCCUUACUGUGUCACCCAGGCUGUAGUGCACGAUCAAGGCUCACUGCAGCCUCAAUAUCCCUGGGCUGAGGUGAUUCUACCACCUUAGCCUCCGGAGUAGCUGGGACUACAGGUGUGCCACCAGGCCCAGCUCAUUUUUGUGUUUUUUGUAGAGACAGGGUCUUGCCAUGUUGCCUAAGCUGGUCUCAAACUCCUGUGCUCAAGCAAUCCGUCCACCUCAGUCUCCCAAAGUGUUGGGAUUACACAUGUGAGCUACUGAGCCCAGCCUAAUUUACUUUUUGUGGAGAUCAGGUCUCACUAUGUUGCCCUAGCUGAUCUCGAACUCCUGGGUUCAAGUGAUCCUCCACUUUAGCCUCCCUGGACUGUUUUCAGACAGCUAUCCUGAAGUUCCCCAAAGAGUAACACAUGGCUCUGGGGUUGAGAGGAGUUGAAUGAUGGAGUCCCUUUAAGACAUUACCGUUUCUUCUGUUCUCCUGGGAGAGUAAUGCUGGGGGCAUGCCCAGUAAAGCCAUUAGGCAGGAGGAGCCAUUGAAACACCUCAUCUGUCAUCAACUAUGUCUAUCUAGAGAAGAAGAAGGUUUAAACCAUGAGGGGGGAGGGUAUCCAGAGUGCCUGGCCUUGGAAAUUCUUCCCAGGAUGUGGAGAUAUACGGUGAGUGGAUAGACUAGGUCUUCUUUGUCUACAUCCAAAAGAUGUGUCCUUUUUUCAUUUGUUUGUUUUCUUCUACUCUUUAUUUUAAUCUUUUUUAAAUCUUGUGCUUGUAUUGUGGAACCAAAUCUUGUGGUUGUGUUGAGGGAAAACUGAAAUAAACUUACAAAUUCAGGCUGUGCACACACAUGUUUAUAGUGGCUUUAUUCCUAAUUGCCAAAACUUGGAAGCAACCAAAAUGUUCUUUAGUAGGUAAAUGGAUAAACUGUGGUACAUCCACACAACGGAGUAUAACUCAGUGCUAAAAAGAAAUCAGCUAUCAAGUCAUGAAAAGACAUGGAAGACGGGCUGGGUGCCGUGACUCACGCCUGUAAUCCCAGCAUUUUGGGAGGCCGAGGCAGGUGGAUCACCUGAGGCCAGGAGUUCAUCACCAGCCUGGCCAACAUGGCAAAACUCCGUCUCUACUAGAAAUACAAAAAUUAGUUGGGUGUGGUUGCGCACGCCUGUAAUCCCAGCUACUCAGGAGGCUGAGGUAGGAGAAUCGCUUGAACCUGAGAGGCGGAGGUUGCAGUGAGCAAAGAUUGUGCCACUGCACUCUAGCCUCUGAGACAGAGAGAGACUCCAUCUCAAAAAAAAAAAAAAAAAUUGGUUUCCAUGGUUGGGAAGGGGGUUGGAGAAGAAUAGGGAGCACACAAAGGACUUUUAGGGCAGUGGAAAUACUCCAUAUACCUUUAUGGUAGGCACAUAUCAUAUAUUUGUCCAAACCCAUAGGAUGUACAUCACCAAGAUUCAACCCUCAGGUACUCUAUGGAGUUUGGGUGAGAAUGAUGUGUCAAUAUAGGUUCAUUCACUGUAGCAAAUGUACCAUUCUGGUGGAGGAUGUUGAUAAUGGGAGAGGCUGUGUGAGUGAGGGCACAGGUAUGUGGGAAAGCUCUGCACCUUCCUCGCAAUUUUGCUGUUAACUUAAAACUGCCUUUUGAAAUUUUUUCGCAGACAGGGUCUUACUUUGUGACCCAGGCUGAAGUGCAGUGGUGCAAACACAGCUCACCAUAGCCUCAACCUACCAGGCUCAAGCAAUCCUCCCACCUCAGCCUCCCGAGUAGCUGAGACUAUAGGCACAGGCCAUCAUGCCUGGCUAAUUUUUGUAUUUUUUGUAGAGAUGGGGUUUCACCAUGUUAGCCAAGCUGGUCUCAAACUCCUGGGCUCAAGUGAUCCUCCCACCUCGGCCUCCCAAAGUGUUGAGAUUACAGGUGUGAGCCACCGUGCCUGGCCAAAACUGCCCUUAAAAAUAGUCUUAACACAGCGAGAGCCCCAUCUCUACAAAAAGUUUAAAAAAAAAAAAAAAAAAAAUUAGCCAGACGUGGUGUCGCACACCUGUAGUCCCAGCCAGUUGGAGAACUGAGGUGGGAGGGUCACUGGAGACGGGGAGUUUGAGGCCACAGUGAGCCGUGAUUGCAUCACUGCACUCCAGCCUGGGUGACAGAGUGAGACCCUGACUCAAAAGAGGAAAAAAAAGCUCUCGAGAAUAUUUCGAACUAAUUUAGUAGCCAUGUGUGAGUACUCUACCGUAGUUUGCUAAGUUGGUGAAUUCCCACUAAGGUUUAUUGGAAAACUCUUAGGACUGCAAGCUAGUGGGGGACUGGGAUAGUCACUUCCUUUCUCUGGCACGCGUCUCCCACUUGUAAAAUGGGAGGAGUGGUGUAGCAGGCAGGACCGACUCCCAGUUCUGAGGUUGCCUCCAUUUCAAAAAAACUGAUUCUAGAAGGAGGAUCAGAUACAUGUUUGUUCCUGUAUAAUUUUGCCAAGCAUAGGUCCUGAUACCCAACAGCAAUCUCUCAGGGACCCAAGACCAAAGCAACUUUCUUGCUUCCUCCUUCACAUGACUGGAAAUGGAUAUGCUGCUCAGGCAAGGCAGGGGUGAGAGUCUUUUAUACACCGUCAAACACACACACACACAUGACUCUUCCAAAUGUCAGUUUAUCUUGGGAUUGUGUAGAGAGUGAAAUGUUUUUUUUUUAUCUUUACUUAAAUAUAGAGCAUCUGAAGAUUGAAA